rnacentral:misc_RNA from 1 species
AACGCACGAGACCUGCGGACCUGCGGAGGGAUCAUUACCGAGUUUACAACUCCCAAACCCCUGUGAACAUACCACUUGUUGCCUCGGCGGAUCAGCCCGCUCCCGGUAAAACGGGACGGCCCGCCAGAGGACCCCUAAACUCUGUUUCUAUAUGUAACUUCUGAGUAAAACCAUAAAUAAAUCAAAACUUUUAACAAUGGAUCUCU